rnacentral:rRNA from 1 species
GACGCUUAGCGAGACUGCCGGUAAUAAACCGGAGGAAGGUGGGGAUGACGUCAAAUCAUCAUGCCCCUUAUGACCUGGGCUACACACGUGCUACAAUGGUUGGUACAACGAGUUGCGAGUCGGUGACGGCGAGCUAAUCUCUUAAAGCCAAUCUCAGUUCGGAUUGUAGGCUGCAACUCGCCUACAUGAAGUCGGAAUCGCUAGUAAUCGCGGAUCAGCACGCCGCGGUGAAUACGUUCCCGGGCCUU